UCCUCCUGCUUUAGCCUCCCAAAGUGCUGGGAUUACAGGCAUGAGCCACCACACCUGGCCCAUGAGGCUCGCAUCAGCCUGUCUUUUGAAGAGGGAAAAAGCAAAGUUCCAGCUCUCCAGGAAGAAAAAGGACCUCAUGCCACCUUAAGUAAAGGAAUUUAAAUGGCACGUUUGUGCCUCCAUGGACAGCGGACAGCUGAGCUUCUCCAGGGCUGGAACCCAGCAGGCAGAAACAGAGGCUCCUGGGGCUGUGUGGUUUCCCAUCUCUGGUCUCUGCAUCUCUCUCUGAAUCUUCUUCUUUUGUGUAUUGAUGGAGGAACUGCUCUAUGCUAGGUAUGGAGCCAAGUGCUGGGUAGAGAGAGUGAAUAAUAAAAUCUCUGCCCUGCAGGGACUGAACAAGCCAAUGAGCAAGACAGACAAUAUGGAGAAUCACAUAAAACUCAUUCGCGUUGCAGCGUGGAUCAGGAUUUUCUUCCUUGUUAAGGCUGAACGAUGUUCCAUGAUGGGGAUGUUGAAACAUGGAGAGGCUGUGAAAUUUACCCAAAGUCAAACAACUCAUAAGUGGCAGUGCUGGUAAUAUAAACCCAGACAGACUGAUUAUUAUGUCUCCUGUUGAACCAUUCUGUGAUCCUGGAAUGCUAGAAGAGCAGGAGGCAGUUUUGGGUGAAUCCUGUGACAUGCUUCUAUAGACCUAUCUCUACGCCUGGGAUGAUGAUUAAUAGGAGGAAUUGGGAUUAUGGUCAUUCAGACACAAAUCACUUCACUUAGCUCUCAUCUGGUAUAUUUAUUUAUUGUUGUGUC